rnacentral:ribozyme from 14 species
AUAUCGAGCUGUGGUAUGACUGUAGGAUUGGGUAGGUCUGCCAAAGGUCUGCCACUUGCGUCGUCAGAGAAGGCAAGUUGAUAAAAAAAAAAAAAAAAAAGCCAAUUUACCUGGGAACAGUUCUGCCUUGUUUUUCCUGAUAAGGCUGAUACCUUGCAGUGAAAAAACUACGAAAAAAAUAGCU